rnacentral:sRNA from 3 species
AUGUGCCACUCGUACACGCGGUUCUGAGCGUACCGCCCGCACCCGCCUGGCGACCGCUCGCUACGUUUUGUCAGCG